GGUUAGCUCCGCCCAGUUGCACGCCCCAAGGGGCGCACGAGGCCUCCCCGGCAUCUACGCAGAGCGCUGGAGAGCCAGUGCCUUCUAUUGCGCCUGCGCGAGAGGAGGGCGCAAGCCUGCCUGCUUUCAGUGACUCCUCCCACCAGCGGCCGGCGCUCUAGGCACGUGUGCAGCCUACGCUUUCCGGAUGAUCUUCAUUGAAAGUAUUUCCACAAAAACUAGGAAUAUUUCCAAGAAUGCUUUAAUUUUAUGGAAUAUAAAAGCGUAGAACAUAA